GGUAUGUAAAGCUCUAUCAGCAGGGAAGAAAAUGACGGUACCUGACUAAGAAGCCCCGGCUAACUACGUGCCAGCAGCCGCGGUAAUACGUAGGGGGCAAGCGUUAUCCGGAUUUACUGGGUGUAAAGGGAGCGUAGACGGAGCAGCAAGUCUGAUGUGAAAACCCGGGGCUCAACCCCGGGACUGCAUUGGAAACUGUUGAUCUGGAGUGCCGGAGAGGUAAGCGGAAUUCCUAGUGUAGCGGUGAAAUGCGUAGAUAUUAGGAGGAACACCAGUGGCGAAGGCGGCUUACUGGACGGUAACUGACGUUGAGGCUCGAAAGCGUGGGGAGCAAACAGGAUUAGAUACCCUGGUAGUCCACGCCGUAAACGAUGACUACUAGGUGUCGGUGGCAAAGCCAUUCGGUGCCGCAGCAAACGCAAUAAGUAGUCCACCUGGGGAGUA
rnacentral:rRNA from 1 species